UGGGGAAUAUUGGACAAUGGGCGAAAGCCUGAUCCAGCCAUGCCGCGUGUGUGAAGAAGGUCUUCGGAUUGUAAAGCACUUUAAGUUGGGAGGAAGGGCAGUAAGCGAAUACCUUGCUGUUUUGACGUUACCGACAGAAUAAGCACCGGCUAACUCUGUGCCAGCAGCCGCGGUAAUACAGAGGGUGCAAGCGUUAAUCGGAAUUACUGGGCGUAAAGCGUGCGUAGGCGGCUAAUUGAGUCGGAUGUGAAAUCCCCGAGCUUAACUUUGGAAUUGCAUUCGAUACUGGUUAGCUAGAGUGUGGGAGAGGAUGGUAGAAUUCCAGGUGUAGCGGUGAAAUGCGUAGAGAUCUGGAGGAAUACCGAUGGCGAAGGCAGCCAUCUGGCCUAACACUGACGCUGAGGUACGAAAGCAUGGGGAGCAAACAGG
rnacentral:rRNA from 1 species